rnacentral:rRNA from 1 species
UAUAAAUAAGCGGAGGAAAAGAAACUUAAAGGGAUUGCCCCAGUAACGGCGAGUGAAGSSGCAACAGCUCAAAUUUGAAAUCCGGCCUCGGCCUGAGUUGUAAUUUGCAGAGGAUGCUUCGGGCGACGUUCCUUCCGAGUCCCCUGGAACGGGGCGCCACAGAGGGUGAGAGCCCCGUACUGUCGGAACCUAGCCCGUGUGAAGCUCCUUCGACGAGUCGAGUAGUUUGGGAAUGCUGCUCUAAAUGGGAGGUAAAUUCCUUCUAAAGCUAAAUACCGGCCAGAGACCGAUAGCGCACAAGUAGAGUGAUCGAAAGAUGAAAAGCACUUUGGAAAGAGGGUUAAACAGUACGUGAAAUUGCUGAAAGGGAAGCGCCUGCGACCAGACUCGGGCGCGGUGGAUCAUCCGGCGUUCUCGCCGGUGCACUCCGCCGUGCUUGGGCCAGCACCGGUUUGACCGGGGGGACAAAAGCUUGGGAAAUGUAUCUCCUCUUCGGAGGAGUGUUAUAGUCCCUCGCCUAAUACCCCCGGGUGGACCGAGGACCGCGCAUUAUGCAAGGAUGCUGGCGUAAUGGUCGUCGGCG